GAUGAACGCUGGCGGCGUGCCUAAUACAUGCAAGUCGAGCGAACGGACGAGAAGCUUGCUUCUCUGAUGUUAGCGGCGGACGGGUGAGUAACACGUGGAUAACCUACCUAUAAGACUGGGAUAACUUCGGGAAACCGGAGCUAAUACCGGAUAAUAUUUUGAACCGCAUGGUUCAAAAGUGAAAGACGGUCUUGCUGUCACUAAUAGAUGGAUCCGCGCUGCAUUAGCUAGUUGGUAAGGUAACGGCUUACCAAGGCAACGAUGCAUAGCCGACCUGAGAGGGUGAUCGGCCACACUGGAACUGAGACACGGUCCAGACUCCUACGGGAGGCAGCAGUAGGGAAUCUUCCGCAAUGGGCGAAAGCCUGACGGGGCCACGCCGCGUGAGUGAUGAAGGUCUUCGGAUCGUAAAACUCUGUUAUUAGGGAAGAACAUAUGUGUAAGUACCUGUGCACAUCUUGACGUUACCUAAUCAGAAAGCCACGGCUAACUACGUG
rnacentral:rRNA from 1 species